ensembl:lncRNA
AGGUCUCUGACCUCCUCCCUAUAGGUUGUCUUGUUGUUGUCGGUGAUCAGGUCUGUGUCAUCAGCAAAUUUAAUGAUGAUGUUGGAGUCGUGCCUGGCCGUGCAGUCAUGAAUGAACAGGGAGUACAGGAGAGGACUGAGCACACACCCCUGAGGGGCCCCUGUGUUGAGGAUCAGCGUGGCGGAUGUGUUGUUGCCUACAGUUACCACCUGGGGGCGCCCGUCAGGAAGUCCAGGAUCCAGUUGCAGAGGGAGGUGUUGAGUCCCAGAGUUCUUAGCUUAUUGAUGAGCUUUGAGUGCACUAUGGUGUUGAACGCUGAGCUGUAGUCAAUUAAUAGCAUUCUCACUUAGUAGGUGUUCCUUUCGUCCAGGUGGGAAAUGUGUGGAGUGCAAUAGAGACUGCAUCAUCUGUGGAUACAUGAGUAUGAUCUUAGGUGUAGAAUGUACCGUCUUUACUCUUGGGUCCACCCACCCUGAAACCAAAAAGGGUUCUACCUGGAACUAAAAAUAAUUGUCCUAUGCUAUGGGAACCUUUUUUCUAAGCGUGUAGUUGUACUGCAUCCCUGGUAGAGACUCUGAGAGCACUCUGCUGACAUAAGCACGGUAUAGAGGAGCAUAAUAGGAGCAAGGUUUUGAUCCUUCAGAGGUGACAUAGUAACCUUAUUAUCAUGUGACAUUGAUAACCACUUUUGGUUUUUCCCUCCAGACUCAACUAGCAGAGAUGGAAACCCUACCAGAGAAAGGCCACCGGUAACUUCCAGGAACUGUACCAUCAGCCUGAUGUCAAGAGUUAAGGUGUACCCCAAUGGAGACAGGUAUAUAUCUAUCCACGUCUGGGGGAAAAGCAUGGAAGAGAUACUUCCUCCAAAUUCACAAAAAAGGUAUUAGCCUGAUAUCAUGAUCCAGUCUGGAUUCUCUAUGGGGCACCAUUAGUAACAUGCUAUAUUUUGUGCUAAAGAUGAAUUUCCUACCACAGAAUUUAGUUUUCAAACAGAACCCUAAUAGAACCCUCAUUAAGUGGUAACUGUGUGUUACUGAAUGUUGCAGCUGCAGUAACGUGAGGCUGGGAAUGUCCCGGUCCGCAUCCAGGCUGUACGCUGCAGACGGCAUGGCUUCUGUACCGUGAGGUUGGGCCUAUCCCGGUCCGCUUCCAGGCUGUACGCUGCAGACGGCAGGCCUCUGUACCGUGAGGUUGGGCCUAUCCCGGUCCGCUUCCAGGCUGUACGCUGCAGACGGCAGGGCUCUG